rnacentral:misc_RNA from 1 species
AACGCACAUUGCGCCCCUUGGUAUUCCGAGGGGCAUGCCUGUUCGAGCGUCAUUAGCACCAAAUCAAGCCCAGCUUGGCCUUGGGUGGUCGCCCCUAGCCGGGCGUGCCCGAAAGCUUUUGGCGGCGGCGUAGGCCCCCCGAGCGCAACAGAUCUAUCAUCGCUACGGGCGGACCCACGGCGUCGGCUUCUAGACCCCAAAUUCUAAAGGUUGACCUCGGAUCAGGUAGGGAUACCCGCUGAACUUAA